UUUUUCUUUUAUAUGUAGAAUCACUUCUGCUUCAAGCUCUACUAAUUUUGAAAGUUCAGAGAUAAUGAAAAUAGGAAAUACUAAAGAAAUUAUAAUAGAAAAUUUUAGAAAAUAAAUAGAUGAUUGAAAAAUAUUCAAAAUACUAAGGACGACAAAAAAUUACCUAAAAUUAUGAAAAGCGCGCUUUGCUUUCUGAAAGGAGGCGUUGGGCCUCCAACGGCUCCAGCCACGUGGCUAUGAUGGGAUGGUUGAUAUCUCAAGAGUUACUGACAUCGCAUUAAUUGCAAAAACUACAUCCGCGCCAUAAUAACGCCCUCAUGCUUGCCUUAUUUGCGCCAAGAAGCGCCCUCGCGCUAUCUUCUGCCAAUUUCAGUCUCAAGCUCUAAGAUGAAGCGCCCUCGCGCUUCUUGAAGCUUUGACACUUUGACUGCCAGGUGUCAUGAUGCAAUUGGUGAGAUGUCAGGUGAACUUUUCAACAUAUUUGUAAAAUUUUGGUCAUACGAAAAGCGCCCUCGCGCUUUUUGGGUGUUCUUACAAGACUUGCUUUAAAGCUUAAGGAUCUUAUGUCUUUUCUUGGUUCCUUUAGUGCUAUGUCAUAUAGACACUCAAACAUGAGAUUACCAAUGUUCAAUUUGGAUAUUAAGUUCAAAAUAGAGAUCAGUUGCACCUUAGCUCAACACCUAACUCUCUUCUAAAUUCUUUUAUCCUUCUUGAAGUUCUUGUAUGUAUCAUACCUCAAUUUAUUUCCACAAUUUGAGGUGACCAAUUCCACCCCCUUCUUAGAUCCAAGAGACAACAAGUGGUAUCAAAGCUAAAACACUCUUCUCAGUUCUACCUCCAUUGAUGCCUACAUUGUCUGGUACACCAUUUACAGUUAGAUUCGCAUCCCAUAGCGAUUCUGGGUCGACAUAUAGUCGCCUACGAGUGCACUUGCGCAAUAAUGUGUAAGCAAUAUGUAAUUUAUUUUAUAAUGUAUCUGUUUUAUAAAUAUUUAUUUAUUUAUUCAUAUGCACUAACAUGUAUUAUGUUUUAUAUGUUUUGUUGCAAGUUGUAGCCAUCUAGGUCUUCCUCAUGCAAGAUUUGGAAGAUUUUGAGGAGAAGAUAGACGCAAAAGGGAUCAGUGCUUGUGGGAGGAAGUGGUGAUGCCCUUCGAGAGGCGUGGAAAUAGAAAGCUACAACUCAAUGUCGUGAUAUGAUAUGCGAGCUAAAGAGGGGGGCAAGAAGUUGGAGAUUGUGGAACCAGAAGCUUCGAAGAGAUGGCAACAUGAAUAGAACACGCUUAAAGCUAAGCGGAUAUCGGAGCAGUAUUCUCAGAAUCCGUUGUCACACACUUCUAAUGGCUUUGGACCAUCUAUGCAUACAGGAGGCACAGCUACCCAUCAUGAGCAUGGGAAACGAGUUAUAACUUUUAUUAUUUGAAUUUCUCUAAUACAAUAUAUAUUUUGAUCACUUAUAUUCACUUUCUAUUAAUCAUGCGCAAUCACUAGGACGCCCACCUAUUGCUCCAAAGUUGUUUCUACACACCCACACCAAAAAGGGUGACGACCAGACUUUUGUAGACUCGAAGUCUAAAGCUGUUCAUGAUACGUAUCAGACGAGGAGAGAGCAGCUUACACAAACUUCUGAACCAUGGAUGACAAUUCUUUAUUUGUUAAGGUUGUCGGCAGCGAAAAGAAGAGUCGAGUCUGCGGUCUCGGCUCGCAGGCUUCUGAGUUUUAUCAUUGCGGUUUUGCCUCUUCUUCAGUGACAUACCAUCUUAGUGGUAGUAUAGGUUCUACCGAGCUUCAAGACUUGAAAAUGAGGGUGUCUGAGUAGAAUGUGCAGUUGUAGGAACAGAAUUUGCAGAUUCAGAAGCAGAAUAUGCAUAUUCAAGACUUAUAGUAGCAUUUGCAAGACCUUGCCCGUCAGAUCUAAGAGAUACGCUCAGGUUAGCCUCAGCCUCAACCUCAGCCCUUUCCCCAAUCUCCUAAUGACGAUGAGUCACCACUCAUUAAUUUAUUUUUGACAUUUAGACUGUAUUACAACUUUCAACACUAUUUUUUUAUAUCAUUGUAAUAUUUA